rnacentral:rRNA from 1 species
UGAUGCAGCAACGCCGCGUGAGGGACGACGGCCUUCGGGUUGUAAACCUCUUUUAGUAGGGAAGAAGCGAAAGUGACGGUACCUGCAGAAAAAGCACCGGCUAACUACGUGCCAGCAGCCGCGGUAAUACGUAGGGUGCGAGCGUUGUCCGGAAUUAUUGGGCGUAAAGAGCUCGUAGGCGGUCUGUCGCGUCUGCUGUGAAAUCCCGAGGCUCAACCUCGGGCCUGCAGUGGGUACGGGCAGACUAGAGUGCGGUAGGGGAGAUUGGAAUUCCUGGUGUAGCGGUGGAAUGCGCAGAUAUCAGGAGGAACACCGAUGGCGAAGGCAGAUCUCUGGGCCGUAACUGACGCUGAGGAGCGAAAGCGUGGGGAGCGAACAGGAUUAGAUACCCUGGUAGUCCACGCCGUAAACGUUGGGCGCUAGAUGUGGGGACCAUUCCACGGUUUCCGUGUCGCAGCUAACGCAUUAAGCGCCCCGCCUGGGGAGUACGGCCGCAAGGCUAAAACUCAAAGGAAUUGACGGGGGCCCGCACAAGCGGCGGAGCAUGCGGAUUAAUUCGAUGCAACGCGAAGAACCUUACCAAGGCUUGACAUAUACGAGAACGGGCUAGAAAUAGUCAACUCUUUGGACACUCGUAAACAGGUGGUGCAUGGUUGUCGUCAGCUCGUGUCGUGAGAUGUUGGGUUAAGUCCCGCAACGAGCGCAACCCUCGUUCUAUGUUGCCAGCGCGUAAUGGCGGGAACUCAUAGGAGACUGCCGGGGUCAACUCGGAGGAAGGUGGGGAUGACGUCAAAUCAUCAUGCCCCUUAUGUCUUGGGCUUCACGCAUGCUACAAUGGCCGGUACAAAGGGCUGCAAUACCGUAAGGUGGAGCGAAUCCCAAAAAGCCGGUCUCAGUUCGGAUUGAGGUCUGCAACUCGACCUCAUGAAGUCGGAGUCGCUAGUAAUCGCAGAUCAGCAACGCUGCGGUGAAUACGUUCCCGGGCCUUGUACACACCGCCCGUCAAGUCAUGAAAGUCGGUAACACCCGAAG